CCCAUUCGCUAUACUCGCUGGGUUGCCGAACAAGGAACGGCCGCCUCCGGGAUAUGGCCGUCAACUUCGCCUCUACCUCCGGAGGGUCGCCGUAAAAGUACCUGCUAAUGUCGUCAAUUGAUUGCCAUCGAAUCCUUCUAUGAGUGCCACCCCUUUCCAUCCAGAAAAUAACGAGAAUGGUCUCCUUCCUCAUUUGCUGGGUACUGGUAGAAGAAAAUGGCUCUAUACAGACAUUGGUUUUGAAUAGGCCAAGGUUACAGGACUCCUAAAAAAUCACUUCUUCAGAGGAGGGAAACAGAGUUGGACUGUUAAUUGUAAAGGUAAUGGACAAUACUGCAUGCUUGUUAUCAUUUAAUAUAUCACUGGUUUCUCAAAUAUAGCUCUGCAUAUCUUCUUUUCUGGUUUUGUAAUUGUGGGUCACCCCUUCCAAUAUUUGUAUUUUGUGUAUCAACAUGUAAC